AUGGGCAUUGUGAAGGUUGCAAGUGGUGCGCCUAUAGCGAAGAGUGGUUACAGCCGUGAAAAUGAGGACCUUACACAAGAGGAGAGAUUACUGCUUGAGAGCUUUCCUAGUCAAGGUUCUGCCGAUGACUGCGAACAUGCGGAGGUCGAUUGUGAGCUUGCAAUGUCUGGAGGCCAGUUGUGCAAUGUGCCUUAUGGGCUUUAUGAUCUGCCUGGGUUAAAUGACAUACUGUCUCUGGAGACGUGGAACUCAUGUCUAACAGAAGACGAUAGAUUCCGUCUAGCAGCAUACCUCCCGGACAUGGACCAACAUGACUUCUUUACGACAAUGACGGAGCUCUUGAGUGGCAGUGCUAUGUUCUUUGGGAGUCCACUUAGAGGGUUUUUUGACAGAUUGAACGGUGGAUUUUAUUCUCCAGAAGUUUCUCGGGCACGAGAAUUACUGAUGAACUUUCAGAGACGAAGGUAUUAUCAUUUUCUGAAGUUGUAUCAUGAUGGCAUUGUUUGGAAGUUUGCGUGCAUGGACAAGCUGUGGAGAAGAAAUCUUGUGGAUACUAGUCUUGAGGAGAAGAUUCACAUUUGGCACAACUGGAUACAAGAGAAGCUUCUCACAUUUGCAGAUCCAAACAGUUCUCCUUUGAAUGCAAGACUAUCAAAUAUUGGUGAGGUUGAAGCUGCCAGUUUUGCACCAUUGAAGCGAGCUAAACUUAUAGAAGGGACAUCAAGUACCAAUUGGUCAGCCAAAUACAAGGAGAUAGUCCAUGGAGCAAAAUCAGUGGAAAUUAGCUCAUUGAAUAGUCACAUUUUUCACCUUCGAGAUGUGCCCGGUGAAAAAUGUACCAAACCACCAAAAGUCGUGCUUAAAGCAAAUGCCGACAGUGAUUCCUUUGCUCAUGGCAAUGCAGGAAUACAUCAUACACCAGGACUGAUCCCACUCGCUCAGCUGGGAGUGCAGGUCUCCACCUUUUCUCCUUAUGCUUUUUCACAGCAUGUACAUAAUUUUUCUGUGAAUCCAUCUUAUCCUUUAUACAUAAACACAAGGAGAAGUUCUUUAGGCAGUUCAAGCUCAAAAGCCUGGCAGUCGGAGGGUGCACUAGAAACUUACCCUAUCUUGGUCAAAAGCCCAUUUGGAGUCCAGCAUGCUGUUUUAGAGGAUCUCAAAACAGGCAACCAUUCUGCAGCGUUGAGUGGGUAUCAGUCAGCAGCUAAACCUAUCACAGCAUAUUCAGAUGAAGGAAACGACACAAGAGAAUCCCUCCAUGAGAAGAACCUUUUGAAGAACUUUGGUCGGCCGGGUGCCAUGGUUCCUGAAAGUUCUCCUGGUCUGUAUGUGAGAACCGCCAUUGGCCACGAGACGAACGGAUUGAUGAAAAUGUCCAACCCAGGAAAUGCUGACAUUAUUUCUGAGAUGCUUACCCUUGGUGCAAGCACAAACCCACCUUAUAACUUCCCGAUGCAGUCUGAAACAGUGCUCAAACAGCAUCAUGAUGGACUGAAGACGAAGGCACCUCCUUUCAUGAACUCUGCUACAAGAGUUGAAGGACAUAGAUUCCCUUACACAUACACAAGGAGGAAGCCACACAGGGCGGUCGACCUCGUGGAUCCUGUUGAGACGCCGACCAUGGUGGGUUCAGAGACAGCGAGUGGGCUGGCUAGCAUGGCAAAUGUAAAGGCGAAGGGCAUCAAACUUUGA
rnacentral:rRNA from 1 species